rnacentral:ncRNA from 1 species
AAAAUCACCUCGGGGUGCCCUCGUGGCUGAGAGAGUGCAAACUCAACCCAUCGAACCUGAACAGACUAGAAUCUGCGGAGGAAGUGUGAGAUUAGAUUCC